rnacentral:rRNA from 1 species
UACGACGGGGGCUAGCGUUGUUCGGAAUCACUGGGCGUAAAGCGCACGUAGGCGGAUCUUUAAGUCAGCGGUGAAAUCCCAAGGCUCAACCUUGGAACUGCCUUUGAUACUGGGGAUCUUGAGUCCGGGAGAGGUGAGUGGAACUGCGAGUGUAGAGGUGAAAUUCGUAGAUAUUCGCAAGAACACCAGUGGCGAAGGCGGCUCACUGGCCCGGUACUGACGCUGAGGUGCGAAAGCGUGGGGAGCAAACAGG